UCAAUACGUGCUAUUUCCAGAAGGUCUGCUGUUUCUCCAGAGAAAAUGACCUCCAGCCGGCCACUGGUGUUAAUGUCUCUGGGCAAAUCAUCAGAAAAAGACUUCAUGAGGUUGACCUCAGUCUAGACAUCCUCCAGAGGUGGUCACUGCCCAGCAUCAUGCUGCUCGAUUUGCAUUGGACACCAGAAAUGGUAGGUCCACCACUGGCGCCCUGUGCUUUUCACAGAUGACGCACAAACCUCUACAGACUAGACGUCGGCACCCUGACUGCCAUUAGGCAUCAGGAUAAAAUCCUUGGACUCAUUGUCAGCCAUACAAGCUACUGAGUACCGAUUUGAGCUGCUGCAAUGAAAUUUCACUAAAUGGGCCUAUUAUGCCCGUUGCAUCAUUUGUUUUUGAAUUCAGCCCUCUAUAGGUUUAUAAUUAUUUAAUUUCCAUCAAACGACGUGGCAUCCUUCCACUCCUGAUACAUUACUCAGUCCAUAUCAGUACAGACAUCCAGCACGACUUUUUUCUCAUUGACACCUAAUGUGUUUACAAAGAGCUAUUAUUUUCUUGAGCAAUGUGUAUUACAAGUGCCAUAACAUCAGUGAUGAAGCGGAGCAGCAGCUCAUUCAGAGUUGAUGAUACCUGCGGGAAAUUUAGAUCAAUGAAGCUGAAAAGGUGUCACAUCAGAAACUAUAAAAAUUGAACUGCUGCAUCUGGAUUUACACCAUAAUGGAUCUUCCUGAAGAGGCAACGCAGUGAAGUGAUUAUUUACUUUGACAAAAUUAUUUUAUACACCUCUUCAGGUAAUGAAUAUAUAGUCUAGACCGCAUGUCAGUCAUUUUUCAUGCUGUGAAGCAAGAAUUACAGUUGAAAUUACCUGUUAAAUUUCUGUUACCACCUGACGGUUCUCAUUAAUUUAGUCAGUUCACAUUGAUGUCUGCUGUCUCCUUCAAUCAUUGCUCCUCAUUUACAAGAGCAUAUUAUAGUCAGCGGAGCAGACAUGCAGCCUCUGGUUCAGGGUAGUGUCGUGCUGUGGUGACACUGUGUGUUUAUACGUCCUAAACCACAAGACUGAAAUAACUAAAGAUCCUCCCAGAGAAAUCUGACCAGACUACUAGAAAUUCAAGAUGGUACAGAGGUAAAAAUAACCACCACAACUCAAAUGUCUACUGUUUUUGUGUUCCUCCGUGUGGUUUAAGUUGCGCGUGUGUCAAAGUGUGUGCGUACUUCCUCCUCCACAGACUGGAACUCCUUGUCGUCCGGUGCCAGGUCGAUCAGCACGGUGCCCUGGCUGGAGCAGUGGAACGUCAGCUCCUCGUGACCCAUGUCUGCCAGCACAUCCAGUGAAAUCUGCAGGGUUACCACAAACAAGUCACGUCAGUACUCCUCCCAAAAAUUUAACUGAUGGACUCUGCACAAACUAAAAGAGGACAUCACAAUUGAACAGCAGGUUGUGCAACAGCUGAUUAUUAAAACUAGUAAUGAUAAUGAGCCCAAUGAUCUAAGACAUAUUGCAGAGACAAUAGGUCUGACAAAUAUUCAUGAAUAACAGCGGCAGCAUGCAGAGAAGGUCAAUGAAUGGAUGGCAGUAAUCAAGCCAUUGAUAUGCAAAUGUCGGUGAAAUCAUCUCCGCUCUCCUGAGUUUGUUCAGGGAGAGCAGAGAUGACAUUCAUCCUGGAGGCAGAGAUAACUUUCCUCUGCGCUGCAGUGAUCACUGACAUAGGUGUAAAUCAUCACAGCUUAUAAAUACUCAGACAUUCACAAGGCACUUAUAAGCAAAACAGAAACCUGUCUGGCACCCAGCGUUUAUCUAAAUAUAAAAACCUGAUUUGGUUUGUGAGUCACAGCAAAGUGACGUGAACUUCAGCUGUUUGCUUCUACCGAGAAAAACCAUUUGAUGCAAUCAUGUAAAAUGACCGCGAGGCCCAUGAACCUGCUUCUCACCAGUCUGAUGCGUCAGUCGGCUAUUUACCACAGAACAUCCAUCUACGUGGCUUCUGAAUCCUCCAGUACUUUACAAUCUUAUUCAGUUCAGAGCGCAGAACAGUUAUUUAGAUCAAAGCUGGACAUCAUGUAUCGUUAAUGCUUUUCUCAUGUCACUGUUCUCUAUUUGAAAAUCAAACUGUCAGCUACAUCAUCCCUUCAUCUAGUUACUUGAUGUUCAGACUGUUAUCAGCUUUGUGAGUUUGAUGCUAGGAACCAAAGCAGGUCCCUACUGUGAGUGUUUGUUUUACUGUUUUAGUUUUUUAUGUAAUGCUGGUAAAACACACACAAAAAAUGUAAUAAAAGCAGCAUGUAAUGAGUGGGUUUUAUAAUCAUCCAGUAUUUUUGAAUGUUCAUCAGUGGAUUCGAUGUUUGUUUCUUCAAAGCUCGGAGUUCUGCAUGUUAUUCUGAAGUAUGAGUGUACUUUUUUAUUGACAACCACCCCCUCAAUAUCAUCCUGAAUCAUUCUCAUUCUGAAUAUUAAUAAAGACCUGUUUCCCUUCAGGGGCACCAAAAAUAAAUUUAAGUCACGCACACAGAAACAGCCGUACCCUCCGUAUUGUUCCGGCACUGCUUUCUAUACGUCGCCUUUAGCCAGCUGUCACCUUUCAAUGUCACUGCUUUCUCGUCUUUCUGUCACCCCGUCUGUCCUUUACCAUCCUGUCUCUGUCUCUUACCUCCAUCCGUGUCUUCAAGCAUCUCUUCUCAUUAAUUUGUCCUUAUUUUCUUUCUUUUUUUCUUUUGCAUCACCUUGUUUUGUUUUAGUUUUACUUCCUCAUUCUGUGCCUCUCACUUUUAAUACUUUUCAGUUCUAAAAUUUAGAUUUAGAAAGCAAGAUUAAGAGUGUACAGUCAUGCUAGUUAGCGUCAUGCUCAAGUUCAAUGCUAAAGCCACUGAGCUAAUAUGUUC